UACGGAGGGGACUAGCGUUGUUCGGAAUUACUGGGCGUAAAGCGCACGUAGGCGGAUUUGUAAGUCAGGGGUGAAAUCCCGGGGCUCAACCUCGGAACUGCCUUUGAUACUGCAAAUCUCGAGUCCGGAAGAGGUGAGUGGAAUUCCGUAGUGUAGAGGUGAAAUUCGUAGAUAUCAGGAAGAACACCCGUGGCGAAGGCGGCUCUCUGGGACGGUACUGACGCUGAGACGCGAAAGCGUGGGGAGCGAACAGG
rnacentral:rRNA from 1 species